GAACUUGGUUUGGCAGCACAUAGACUAAAAUUGGAACGAUACAGAGAUUAGCAUGGCCCCUUCGCAAGGAAGACAGGUAAAUUAAAGCAUUCCACAUAUUUUU